rnacentral:misc_RNA from 1 species
CAACCCUCAAGCCCAGCUUGGUGUUGGGCCCGGCCCUAGCGGCUGGCCCUAAAGUCAGUGGCGGUGCCGUCUGGCCCUGAGCGUAGUACACUUCUCGCUCCAGGGUCUCGCGGUGGCUUGCCAGAACCCCAAUUUCUCU